GAUGAACGCUGGCGGCGUGCCUAAUACAUGCCAGUCGAGCGAACAGACGAGGAGCUUGCUCCUCUGACGUUAGCGGCGGACGGGUGAGUAACACGUGGAUAACCUACCUAUAAGACUGGGAUAACUUCGGGAAACCGGAGCUAAUACCGGAUAAUAUAUUGAACCGCAUGGUUCAAUAGUGAAAGACGGUUUUGCUGUCACUUAUAGAUGGAUCCGCGCCGCAUUAGCUAGUUGGUAAGGUAACGGCUUACCAAGGCAACGAUGCGUAGCCGACCUGAGAGGGUGAACGGCCACACUGGAACUGAGACACGGUCCAGACUCCUACGGGAGGCAGCAGUAGGGAAUCUUCCGAAAUGGGCGAAAGCCUGACGGAGCAACGCCGCGUGAGUGAUGAAGGUCUUCGGAUCGUAAAACUCUGUUAUUAGGGAAGAACAAAUGUGUAAGUAACUAUGCACGUCUUGACGGUACCUAAUCAGAAAGCCACGGCUAACUACGUG
rnacentral:rRNA from 1 species